CAGAGGAGCCAAGCGUUGUCCGGAUUGACUGGGCGUAAAGCGCACGCAGGCGGACGCGCGCGUGGGGUGUGAAAUCUGGCCGCUUAACGGCCAGGCGCCAUCCCAUACGGCGCGUCUGGAGUGAUGCAGAGGUCGAUGGAAUUGCCGGUGUAGUGGUGAAAUGCGUAGAGAUCGGCAGGAACACCCAGGGGGAAACCAGUCGACUGGGCAUCUACUGACGCUGAGGUGCGAGAGCGUGGGGAGCGAACCGGAUUAGAUACCCGGGUAGUCCACGCCGUAAACGAUGGCCACUCGGCCUUUGGUGGCGGAAUCUCCGUCGCUGGGGGCCUUAGCUAACGCGGGAAGUGGCCCGCCGUGGGAACUACGAGCGCAAGACUUA
rnacentral:rRNA from 1 species